CAACCUCGUCCCCAGGGCCUUUUUUGCAAGGAGGCGAAGGGCAGCAAAGGCCCUGGUAAAGGCUGGUGAAAUAAUCCACAAAUUGUGGAUUAUUUUGUCACGUGAUAUAUCGGAGCAAAUACUAUACAGGGGGGUGCGAUCGCGGAUCGCUUUAGCUACAAUAUAUUCGUCAAUAUUGCAUAAACACCGAAAUCGACAAAUAAAGAACAAAGAUCUAUUUUAAAAUGAAAAAAUCUGUUAAAGUUCUUCCAAAAAUAUUGAAUACAUUUGAAAUUGUCUUCAAAUUAGCUCUGCGAACCUUGGUUGAACUGUAAAGGAGAUCUAUUAAAUAGACAAAGCAACAGUACAAAACGAAUGGAUCGAUAGAAGUAUUUAUACUAUGAUCGAAUUACUGUCGCAAAGAAAUUGCUGCCUCGAUUGUGAAACAGAUAUGUAAAAUCACUUUAAUUUAAUAAUAUGGACUCUCAAUACACCAUAUCCAUGAUCAUCAAAACAUUUAAUAGUUAUUGUUGCAUGCUACAAUAGAUCUUUCUUGCAAAUGUCAAUAUCAUACAGUAUAAAAUGAAAUAAAUUUUUCAAAAUGC